rnacentral:rRNA from 1 species
UGGGGAAUAUUGCGCAAUGGGCGAAAGCCUGACGCAGCGACGCCGCGUGGAGGAUGAAGGUCUUCGGAUUGUAAACUCCUGUCAGAUGGGACGAAAGGCUUAUGUUUAAUAGACGUAAGAUAUGACGGUACCAUCAGAGGAAGCACCGGCUAACUUCGUGCCAGCAGCCGCGGUAAUACGAAGGGUGCGAGCGUUAUUCGGAAUCACUGGGCGUAAAGGGUGCGUAGAUGGCAUGUUAAGUUCGUUGUUAAAGGCUCCGGCCUAACUGGAGUAUUGCAAUGAAAACUGGCGUACUAGAGGGUGAGAGAGAGAAGUGGAAUUCCCGGAGUAGCGGUAAAAUGCGUGGAUCUCGGGAGGAACACCAAUGGCGAAGGCAGCUUCUUGGCUCAUUCCUGACAUUGAGGCACGAAAGCGUGGGGAGCAAACAG